rnacentral:rRNA from 1 species
UUUUCCGGUUGAUCCUGCCGGAGGGGACCCCUAUCGGGCUCGGACUAAGCCAUGCGAGUCGGCUGGGGGACCUUUCCCCUGGCGGCGCACGGCUCAGUAAUACACGGUCAACCUGCCCUGGGGACCGGGAUAACCUCGGGAAACUGAGGCUAAUCCCGGAUAGGGGUGGAUUCCUGGAAUGGGUCCACCCCCAAAGUAGGCGGGGGAAUGGCCCCGCUGAGGCCCCAGGAUGGGACCGUGGCUUAUCAGGUAGUAGGUGGGGUAACGGCCCACCUAGCCUAAGACGGGUGCGGGCGGUGGGAGCCGGAGCCCGGAGAUGGGCACUGAGACAAGGGCCUAGGCCCUACGGGGCGCAGCAGGCGCGAAACUUCCGCAAUGCGCGCAAGCGUGACGGAGUGAGCCCGAGUGCCGCCCGCUGAGGGUGGCUGUUCCCGGGUGUAAAAAAGCCGGCUUAGAAAGCGGAGGGCAAGGCUGGUGCCAGCCGCCGCGGUAAAACCAGCUCCGCGAGUGGUCGGGACUAUUACUGGGCUUAAAGCGUCCGUAGGCGGUCCCGUGUGUCCGCGGCCAAAUCCCAGGGCUUAACCCUGGGAACGCUGCGGAUACUACGGGACUAGGGACCGGGCGAGGGCGGGGGUACUCGCCGGGUAGGGGCGAAAUCCUGAGAUCCGGUGAGGACCGGCGGUGGCGAAGGCGCCCGCCUAGAACGGCUCCGACGCUGAGGGACGAAAGCCGGGGGAGCGAAGGGGAUUAGAUACCCCCGUAGUCCCGGCUGUAAACGAUGCCCGCUAGGUGUUGGACUGGCCUGAGCCAGUCCAGUGCCUGAAGGGAAACCGUUAAGCGGGCCGCCUGGGGAGUACGGCCGCAAGGCUGAAACUUAAAGGAAUUGGCGGGGGCCCACUACAAGGGGAGGAGCCUGCGGCUUAAUUGGAGUCAACGCCGGA